UACGAAGGGGGCUAGCGUUGCUCGGAAUCACUGGGCGUAAAGCGCACGUAGGCGGAUCGUUAAGUCGGAGGUGAAAUCCUGGAGCUCAACUCCAGAACUGCCUUUGAUACUGAAGAUCUUGAGUUCGGGAGAGGUGAGUGGAACUGCGAGUGUAGAGGUGAAAUUCGUAGAUAUUCGCAAGAACACCAGUGGCGAAGGCGGCUCACUGGCCCGGUACUGACGCUGAGGUGCGAAAGCGUGGGGAGCAAACAGG
rnacentral:rRNA from 1 species